rnacentral:RNase_P_RNA from 1 species
AGGGGUAGACGGGUGACCGCUCCGUAUGGCGGGGAGGAAAGUCCGGGCAUCAAAGGGCAGGAUGGUCCCUAACAGGGACUGGGGGAAACCCUAAGGAAAGUGCAACAGAAAAUACACCGUCUCGUUAUAUACGGGAUAAGGGUGAAAUGGUGAGGUAAGAGCUCACCGGCUCUGUGGCGACACAGAGGCUUGGCAAACCCCAUCCGAUGCAAGGCCAAAAAGGGAUCGUGCCCUAUGGCACGAAGGGAGUGCCCAUCCCUUAACCCGGGUAGGCCGCAUAAGAUUCAGGGCAACCUGAAUAUGCAGAGAAAUGGUCACCAAAAACAGAACCCGGCUUACAGUCUACCCCUGUCC